rnacentral:lncRNA from 1 species
GUAUUCUUAUGUGUUUACUUUUCUACAUUGGUUAGAGGUAUAGGGGGAGGGUUGAGAUCUCACAAACAUGUUUAACCCCGCCGCAUUUUUGCGCCUGUCCCAAGUCAGGAGCCUCUGGCCUUUGUUAGUCUUGUAUUAUUUUAAUUUUAGUUUCUUGUGUACAAUUUGGAAAUUAGUAUGGCGUUCAUUAUUACUGGACUAGUAUAUAUUUGUUUAGGGGCCAGCUGAAGGACUCCUCCGGGUGCGGGAAUUUCUUGCUACAUUGAAGACCUGUUGGUGACCCUCUGCUGUUGUUUUUUAUUUGGUCGGGUUGUUGUCUCUUUGACACAUUCCCC